rnacentral:rRNA from 1 species
UGGCGAACGGGUGAGUAACGCGUGAGGAACCUGCCUCAAAGAGGGGGACAACAGUUGGAAACGACUGCUAAUACCGCAUAAGCCCACGGCUCGGCAUCGAGCAGAGGGAAAAGGAGUGAUCCGCUUUGAGAUGGCCUCGCGUCCGAUUAGCUGGUUGGUGAGGUAACGGCCCACCAAGGCGACGAUCGGUAGCCGGACUGAGAGGUUGAACGGCCACAUUGGGACUGAGACACGGCCCAGACUCCUACGGGAGGCAGCAGUAGGGAAUAUUGCACAAUGGGGGAAACCCUGAUGCAGCGACGCCGCGUGGAGGAAGAAGGUCUUCGGAUUGUAAACUCCUGUUGUUGAGGAAGAUAAUGACGGUACUCAACAAGGAAGUGACGGCUAACUACGUGCCAGCAGCCGCGGUAAAACGUAGGUCACAAGCGUUGUCCGGAAUUACUGGGUGUAAAGGGAGCGCAGGCGGGAGAACAAGUUGGAAGUGAAAUCCAUGGGCUCAACCCAUGAACUGCUUUCAAAACUGUUUUUCUUGAGUAGUGCAGAGGUAGGCGGAAUUCCCGGUGUAGCGGUGGAAUGCGUAGAUAUCGGGAGGAACACCAGUGGCGAAGGCGGCCUACUGGGCACCAACUGACGCUGAG